GGAAAGCCUGUAGCACAGUGGUAGAGCAUUGGCUUGGCAUGCAGAAAGUCCCAGGAUCAAUUCCUGGCAUCUCCA
rnacentral:tRNA from 1 species